rnacentral:misc_RNA from 1 species
GGUCAUGUGAAGCGUAGACAUAGGAAAACUUCAGUUAGACAAGUGGAGCACAUUGGGUUAGAGAAUAGAAAGAAAAGAAUAGGUAGACCUAAACUAACUUAAAGGAGAAUAGUACAACAUGACCUAAAAGUAUUACAUAUUUCCGAUAAUUUAAUCCAAAAUCGUUUAGAGUAGAGAAAAAGAAUCCAUAUAGCUGAACCCAAUAAAUUUUUUGGAUAACA